GACGAACGCUGGCGGCGUGCCUAAUACAUGCAAGUUGAGCGCUGAAGGUUGGUCCUUGUACCAACUGGAUGAGCAGCAAACGGGUGAGUAACGCGUGGGGAAUCUGCCUUUGAGCGGGGGACAACAUUUGGAAACGAAUGCUAAUACCGCAUAAAAACUUUAAACACAAGUUUUAAGUUUGAAAGAUGCAAUUGCAUCACUCAAAGAUGAUCCCGCGUUGUAUUAGCUAGUUGGUGAGGUAAAGGCUCACCAAGGCGAUGAUACAUAGCCGACCUGAGAGGGUGAUCGGCCACAUUGGGACUGAGACACGGCCCAAACUCCUACGGGAGGCAGCAGUAGGGAAUCUUCGGCAAUGGACGAAAGUCUGACCGAGCAACGCCGCGUGAGUGAAGAAGGUUUUCGGAUCGUAAAACUCUGUUGGUAGAGAAGAACGUUGGUGAGAGUGGAAAGCUCAUCAAGUGACGGUAACUACCCAGAAAGGGACGGCUAACUACGUG
rnacentral:rRNA from 1 species